rnacentral:rRNA from 1 species
UACGGAGGAUGAAAACGUUAUCCGGAAUGAUUGGGCGUAAAGGGUCCGCAGGUGGAAUUUCAAGUCUGCUGUCAAAGCGUGAAGCUUAACUUCAUAAAGGCAGUGGAAACUGAGAAUCCAGAGUACGUUCGGGGCAGAGGGAAUUCCCAGUGUAGCGGUGAAAUGCGUAGAGAUUGGGAAGAACACCAGUGGCGAAAGCGAUCUGCUAGGCCUGUACUGACACUGAGGGACGAAAGCUAGGGGAGCGAAGGGG